AUUCAGAUGACGAGUCCUAAAAGGGAUGAAACACGUGUCAAACUGAAU
rnacentral:hammerhead_ribozyme from 1 species